UACGUAGGGCGCAAGCGUUGUCCGGAAUUAUUGGGCGUAAAGAGCUCGUAGGCGGUCUGUCGCGUCUGUUGUGAAAACUCGAGGCUCAACCUCGGGCUUGCAGUGGAUACGGGCAGACUAGAGUGCGGUAGGGGAGACUGGAAUUCCUGGUGUAGCGGUGGAAUGCGCAGAUAUCAGGAGGAACACCGAUGGCGAAGGCAGGUCACUGGCCCGGUACUGACGCUGAGGUGCGAAAGCGUGGGGAGCAAACAGG
rnacentral:rRNA from 1 species